CCUACGGGAGGCAGAAGUGAGGAAUAUUGGUCCAUGGGCGUAAGCCUGCACCAGCCAAGUCGCGUGAGGGAUGAAGGUUCUAUGGAUCGUAAACCUCUUUUAUAAGGGGAUAAAGUGUGGGACGUGUCCUAUUUUGUAUGUAACUUAUGAAUAAGGAUCGGCUAACUCCGUGCAAGCAGCCGCGGUAAAACGGGGGUCCGAGGGUUAUCCGGACUUAUUGGGUGUAAAGGGUGCGUAGGCGGGCGUUUAAGUCAGCUGUGAAAGUGUUGGGCUCAACCAUAGAAUUGUCGUUGAAACUGGGGGGCUUGAGUAUGUUUGAGGCAGGCGGAAUGCGUGGUGUAGCGGUGAAAUGCUUAGAUAUCACGCAGAACCCCGAUUGCGAAGGCAGCCUGCCAAGCCAUGACUGACGCUGAUGCACGAAAGCGUGGGGAUCAAACAGGAUUAGAUACCCUUGUAGUC
rnacentral:rRNA from 1 species